AGAAGCUUGCUUUUUGAAAGUUAGCGGCGGACGGGUGAGUAACACGUGGGCAACCUGCCUGCAAGACGGGGAUAACUCCGGGAAACCGGGGCUAAUACCGGAUAAUAUCUUCCUUCGCAUGAAGGAAGGUUGAAAGGCGGCGCAAGCUGCCGCUUGCAGAUGGGCCCGCGGCGCAUUAGCUAGUUGGUGAGGUAACGGCUCACCAAGGCGACGAUGCGUAGCCGACCUGAGAGGGUGAUCGGCCACACUGGGACUGAGACACGGCCCAGACUCCUACGGGAGGCAGCAGUAGGGAAUCUUCCGCAAUGGACGAAAGUCUGACGGAGCAACGCCGCGUGAGCGAAGAAGGUCUUCGGAUCGUAAAGCUCUGUUGUCAGGGAAGAACAAGUACCGUUCGAACAGGGCGGUACCUUGACGGUACCUGACCAGAAAGCCACGGCUAACUACGUGCCAGCAGCCGCGGUAAUACGUAGGUGGCAAGCGUUGUCCGGAAUUAUUGGGCGUAAAGCGCGCGCAGGCGGUCUCUUAAGUCUGAUGUGAAAGCCCACGGCUCAACCGUGGAGGGUCAUUGGAAACUGGGAGACUUGAGUGCAGAAGAGGAGAGCGGAAUUCCACGUGUAGCGGUGAAAUGCGUAGAGAUGUGGAGGAACACCAGUGGCGA
rnacentral:rRNA from 1 species